rnacentral:rRNA from 1 species
GAUGAACGCUAGCUACAGGCUUAACACAUGCAAGUCGAGGGGAAACGAUAGAGAAAGCUUGCUUUUUCUAGGCGUCGACCGGGGCACGGGUGAGUAACGCGUAUCCAACCUGCCCAUCACUUGGGGAUAACCUUGCGAAAGUAAGACUAAUACCCAAUGAUAUCUCUAGAAGACAUCUGAAGGAGAUUAAAGAUUCAUCGGUGAUGGAUGGGGAUGCGUCUGAUUAGCUUGUUGGCGGGGUAACGGCCCACCAAGGCGACGAUCAGUAGGGGUUCUGAGAGGAAGGUCCCCCANAUUGGAACUGAGACACGGUCCAAACUCCUACGGGAGGCAGCAGUGAGGAAUAUUGGUCAAUGGGCGAGAGCCUGACCAGCCAAGUAGCGUGCAGGAUGACGGCCCUAUGGGUUGUAAACUGCUUUUAUAAGGGAAUAAAGUGAGAGUCGUGACUCUUUUUGCAUGUACCUUAUGAAUAAGGACCGGCUAAUUCCGUGCCAGCAGCC